CUAUUCUAUACUGUUAGUGGAGGUUGAUCAUCUCUAACCAUGACCCAGACAGUAUUUUACUAUUCUAUACUGUUAGAGGUGGUUGAUCAUCUCUAACCAUGACCCAGACAGUAUUUUACUAUUCUAUACUGUUAGAGGUGGUUGAUCAUCUCUAACCAUGACCCAGACAGUAUUUUACUAUUCUAUACUGUUAGUGGAGGUUGAUCAUCUCUAACCAUGACCCAGACAGUAUUUUACUAUUCUAUACUGUUAGUGGAGGUUUAUCAUCUCUAACCAUGACCCAGACAGUAUUUUACUAUUCUAUACUGUUAGAGGUGGUUGAUCAUCUCUAACCAUGACCCAGACAGUACUCUAUACUGUUAGAGGUGGUUGAUCAUCUCUAACCAUGACCCAGACAGUAUUUUACUAUUCUAUACUGUUAGUGGAGGUUUAUCAUCUCUAACCAUGACCCAG